CCUAACACAUGCAAGUCGAACGGUAACAGGAAGAAGCUUGCUUCUUUGCUGACGAGUGGCGGACGGGUGAGUAAUGUCUGGGAAACUGCCUGAUGGAGGGGGAUAACUACUGGAAACGGUAGCUAAUACCGCAUAACGUCGCAAGACCAAAGAGGGGGACCCUCGGGCCUCUUGCCAUCGGAUGUGCCCAGAUGGGAUUAGCUUGUUGGUGGGGUAACGGCUCACCAAGGCGACGAUCCCUAGCUGGUCUGAGAGGAUGACCAGCCACACUGGAACUGAGACACGGUCCAGACUCCUACGGGAGGCAGCAGUGGGGAAUAUUGCACAAUGGGCGCAAGCCUGAUGCAGCCAUGCCGCGUGUAUGAAGAAGGCCUUCGGGUUGUAAAGACUUUCAGCGGGGAGGAAGGGAGUAAAGUUAAUACCUUUGCUCAUUGACGUUACCCGCAGAAGAAGCACCGGCUAACUCCGUGCCAGCA
rnacentral:rRNA from 1 species